rnacentral:lncRNA from 1 species
UUGUUCCUUUUCACAGAGGAAAAUGUUUGAGGCACAGCUACUUCCAUCUCCAGCUCCACAGUGCCAUUUGCACGUGACAUGUCGCAACCCCAGCUGAGCAUCAGGACAGGAAGCUGCCUGGGCUGGAUAAGAAGCAGAACUGAACUCAGUGACCUUGGGCCCUAAGGUGGCACAAGCUGUGGGUGUUCAUCAGAGCUGUACCCCUAUCCCCGCAGCUGCAAGGUUGUGUUCCAUUUAUGAGCUUGGCCACUCAUUCUUAAAGAGGCAAGGGACAGGCUGUAGGUGAAGCUCAGCAAUAAAUAGAGCAGGGCCGUGGCUCUGUCCCCAGCCUGGGGGAAAAGAAGAAAAAAAUUCUAUCCACAGGGGACCAGACUAGAGGGUAGGAAAAUGCUGGAUCAGAUAGCAUGUGUAAGUGUCCUGUGGCUGCUUUACCAUAGGCCUAGUGACGUAAACAAGUUCUCUCUACAAACCAGAAGUCCAAAAUCAAGACGUUAGUAGCUCUACACAUCCACUGAUGCUGUCCCACUCCUCUCCUGGCUUCCGGGGGGCUCUGGGGCUCAUGUUUUUAUUUUAAUCAUUCACAGUGAUGUGAGAUUUUAAUAAUACAAACAAAAAGCCUGGGAAUUAAAUGAUUUUGCUGUUUUUCUAUUUUUAUGUUGUCAAUGCUGUCUUCAAAGGAACAAGAGAGCUUCUCGUGGUCUGGGCGAGCCUUUGCCUCCUCACCUUUUGUCAGGUGGGGAGGCAGCCUGCCAGAAGUCUGUUUGCUCUGAGAUGACACACAAAGCUUACUGCAUGAUUCCUCAGAGAAAGCUAUUUUAGGAAAGCCCAGAUACAAGUUUGGGAAAUAGAAUUUAGUUUUAUUUAAUGUACAGGGCCUGGCUUUCCUGCGUGCAGUGUCAAAUUCCUUCUUGGAGAAGUUUGGCAUUCUGUAGCUCAUCGGGUUGAUAGAGGCUGAAGUGUGUGAAAGUCUCUGUGUGGUGUGUAGUGAUGAGCCCGUAAAUGCUUAUCCACUGCAAGGCUUUAAAAAUAGCUCCAUCCUUGCUUGGGCUUUCCCCCUUAAGCCUUAAAAAAUUAUCUUUUGGGUUUCUGGUUUAUUAUUGAAUUCUUUUAGCAGGGGCAAGUGAGAGAUAGGUCUCACUCAGUAGCCCACACUGACUUGGAACAUACUGUGUAGCUCAGGCUGGCCUCAACCUGUGGCAAUCCUCCUGUCUCAGGAUCCUAAGAGCCGAGAUUACAAACGUGAAUUACCAUGCCCAGCACUAACUGAAAAACAUUAUUACCACAAACCCACAAACAGUCUGGAUCGGAGCAGAGGUAUUUCGGACAGUUUGUUGUCAGUAUGUGGUGUGACAUCAUGCUUGGUGCCAAGUACACGUGUUGUAUGUUCAGAACCAAAGUUGCCAUGAAGUCACACAGUACUUCAGGGGCAAGUGAGCACCUCAGGUUCUUCACAGGCUUGGUUGUGCGUUCAUUUUUGGUCAUGCAUUCAGAAAGCUUUAAUUGUUGCCAAUUUUAUUUCAGAUAACCCCAACAUUCAGUUAAACAGCCACUGUUUAAGAAGCUGGUCCCUAAGCAAUAGUCAUACAGCCCAACGCACGCAUCUGCAGAUGGCCCGUGUACGCUGCUCGUGCUUGCCCUGCUGUUCAGAUCCUGUUGGCCCCGCCCAUGUGCACACAUACCAGAGGCUCUCAGCUGAGAGAUGGCCCAGAUCUGCUCACUCUCUCCAGCUUCCUCCUUCUCUUAGAUGCUAACGAAGUCUGUUUUCUUUAGUAGCAUUUUCCAUUCUACGUAGUUAAUUUGUAAAUCACUGCUCCUUUUUUUUAUAUUUAUUAUUAUAUGUAAGUACACUGUAGCUGUCUUCAGACACCUCAGAAGAGGAGGUCAGCUCUCAUUAUAGAUGGUUGUGAGCCACCAUGUGGUUGCUGGGAUUUGAACUCAGGACCUUUGGAAGAGUAGUUAGUUAACCGCUGAGCCAUCUCGACAGCCCCUGCUCCUUUUUUUUUUUUUUUAAUAUCCUUUCCUAUCUUAGUUAUUUGGUGUCUGAAUUACUCUGUACAUUUAAAAUUCUAUAAAGAAAACUUUUGUAAUGAAUACAACUUACUGAGCUGAAGUUGGAAGUAAGUGGAAUAAUGGGACUGUAAGGGAAGGGUGUGACAAGCCAGACAGCCCUGCUGGGGAUCGCUUGCCCUUAGGGGCGUUUCCUCCCCAGAGAGCUUUUCGUCCAGCCUGGUCACAGGCAGCUGGUCUCAUACAGAAGUUACUUAGUGCCACCUGUGGAGAUGACAGCAUUCUGCCCCUUGAGGCGUGCCCAGUGGUCAUUCUUACUUCGUUGGGACCCCUUACCCAGUCUUGGACACUGGGGUUCUCUCUGCUUACCCUUCCUGUGUAGUCUCAGCAUAUGUGUUCCCCCUGGUUCCUCCUUAAAUCCAGCUCUCGGAUUACCUGGUCCAGGCCACUCUCUGGAACUCUGGAAGUGCAUUCUAGCUGCCCUUAGGCUGCUUGGCUCCUCAUCUUCUCUUGUGGUUGAGGAUCAGAAUUGUGCAUGGAAUGGGGUCUCAUUUAUCUCUUGUCUAAAGUGUGAUAUGCUCAUCUGACAUAUCCCCUCAGGUCCACGCCUACAUCAUCAGCUACCUGAAGAAGGAAAUGCCAAAUAUGUUUGG